rnacentral:misc_RNA from 1 species
AACAAUAUUAAAGCCUUCCCUAAUUUAAAGACUACAUGACUACGCAAACCUACCCCACCCACCAAGAGGGGGAAAAAAAAUUGCACAUUAAGCUCCGAACCUAAAUGAACCGGGUUCAACGUAUCCGGUUCAGCCUACCCUAAUCCUCCCCCUAAUCACGCUGCCUGGCUCUGUAAUUAAAACUCUAAUAAUAAUUUAUCAAAAACUGGGUACAACUGCAGGAGCCAAAUCGGGUUCUGCCUGACCCAACAACCCCUUUUUCUGCCGCAUCUCCAGCACUUUCCGGUGGUGGUUAGAGUGCAGCUCGCCAGAGAAAGUCGGGCUACAAGCAGGUCUGUACUCGGGCAGAAGCCGACCCGACUUAUAUCUGACUCCACAUGCGUUGCAAAGAGUCUUGGCUCCUAGAGGACCGGUUCGCCAUUGUGGAGUCUUUUGAACACCGCAAUGGCUGCACCGCCGAGCCGCAUGAGACCCGCCGCCGACCCCACUGCGCAACUCACCGGCCGGUCUUUUCUUUUGCUUUUUAGCAGUCGGUCUUCCUAAAAAAACCGGUUCUGUCGGUUCAUGGUUCAUACCCGUGGGGGUAAAGAUGAGGUAACUGCUUGGAGGGUAAGGAGGAGAGGACGAUGAGCUAGAGCUUGAAGAUGAUUCUGUCAACGAAGGUGACCCAAGAGGCCACCCUCUCACGCAGGUUCUUGCCCGCUUGCUUCGAGCCUUGGCCGGCACAGGAGUUUUAAAACAUAGCUCUGUUAGAACUGGUUUUUGUAGUCCAGAAAGGUUGUCUUGGUUAUGCUUCUCCUGUGAAAUUCC